rnacentral:rRNA from 1 species
AUGAUGCCGCCGCCUAACGCCGGCCGUCUCUCCGACCUCGUUCGGCGCUGCGCCGCCGCUAAGGCUCUAAUCGCCGGCGCGAAGCUCCACGCACAGGCUCUCGUUGGUGGCCACCUACCCCAGGCCACCCUCGAGACGGACCUGGUCCUGCUCUAUUGUCGCUGCGCUGCGCUCCCUAGCGCCCGCAAGGUGUUCGACGCGAUGCCUUCUCCGUCCAUGCACGCGUACAACAUCCUCCUUGCCGCCUCCCCACCCCUCUUAGCUCUCGAACUACUCUCUGGCCUCCUCGACGCCGGUUUCCGCCCUGACUGCUAUGCUGUCCCAGCGGCGCUCCGGGCGUGCGCCGAGCUCCAGGACCCGCUUCUUGGCGCCGCACUCCAUGGAUUUACCGUCCAGUUAGGAUUUCUCUCCAAUGUUGUUGUCUCCAGCGCACUUCUUGACAUGUACGCCAAAGCUGGUCUCCUGGUCAAUGCGGUGAGGGUGUUCGACGAGAUGCCUGAAAGAGACUCUGUUGUGUGGAAUUGCAUGGUUACCGCUUAUGCAAGGGCCGGGAUGACAGCUGAAACCCUUGAGCUCUUCAGAAGGGCUCAGGUGGAGGCGGUGAACAUGACGAGGGAUCUGCGGGCUGUGCCGAGCGUGCUAAAUGUCUGUGGAAAGGAAGGGGAGAUGAUGAAGGGGAGAGAAAUACAUGGUAGGAUGGUGCGAAGCCUUGCAUUCGAUUUGGAUGUCCCAAUUGGGAACACGUUGAUAGACAUGUAUGCAAAGUGCGGGCGCGUGGACGCGUCACAAGCAGUGUUUGCAGGCAUGCAGGAGAGGAAUGUGGUGAGCUGGUCGACACUGAUAUCUUGCUAUGGUGUCCAUGGAAAGGGAAAACAGGCAUUGCAUGUGUACGAGGAGAUGUUAUCUCAGAGCGUGAAGCCGAACUGUAUCACCUUCACAUCUGUCCUUUCAAGUUGCAGCCACUCAGGGCUCGUGACUGAUGGCCGGAUGAUCUUCGAGUCAAUGAGGAAGGUUCAUGGUGUAGAGCCCACUUCUGAGCACUAUGCAUGUAUGGUGGACCUCUUGGGGCGUGCUGGAGCCAUUGAAGAAGCUGUCGGGCUUAUAAAGAAGAUGCCUAUGGAACCUUGCGCUACUGCAUGGGGAGCUCUACUCUCUGCUUGCGCCAUGCAUAAUAAUGUCGAUGUUGGAGAGAUUGCAGCAUAUAGGCUGUUUGAGUUAGAAAAAGGCAAUGUCAGUAACUAUAUCACUCUCUGUGGAAUUUAUGGUGCAGUUGGUCAGUCUGAUGGUGUUGCAGGAUUAAGGUUAAGGAUGAGGGAACUUGGCAUGGUGAAGACGCCUGGUUGCAGCUGGGUUGAUGUGAAGGGAAGAGCUCAUGCCUUUUACCAAGGGAGCAUCCCAAGUUAUUUGAGGAGACGAAUGUUUUGGAUUUUAGAUCGGUUACGUAAGGAUAUGGGCAAUUGA